CGGGGUGUGGCUCAGCUGGCUAGAGCGCUCGCUUCGGGUGCGAGAGGUCGUGAGUUCAAAUCUCACCACCCCGA
rnacentral:tRNA from 1 species